GUACAUGUUAAUCCCCUCACUCCACCCUGUUCCUGUGCUAAAACAGGCUUGGUGUUGAAAGUGAAAGUUUGGGAGGAGCCAUAUAGAGGACCAGAGCUCUGGAGGAGGACAAGUCAUUGCUGAGUACUCUCUCAAAGUAGCAGCAACACUCACAAACCGAAAGAGGUCAUGGCUGGAACAUGUCUUAUUCACUGUGUCCUGAUUCAAGUCCUGCUUAUCACAGUCUAUGCUCAAUUACCAACAAACUGUACAAAUCAAGCUACCACUGAGGGAAAACCAGUACAUCUAACCUGCAAUGUCACAUGUAAAAAAUGUGAAACACAGAGUUAUUUUUGGAAGCAUGGAGAAGCUCAAAUCAACUGCAGUAAAAUGCAUAACUUUCCAAGUGGCAACAGUCAUAUAUUUAAUUGCACAAUUGAAAGUGCAUCAGCGAAUCACAGUGGAACAUUUACAUUUUGGGUACAAAUGAAAGAAGGAAUUGGUGAAACAGAAUUCAGCGUGACCAUAGAGCGGCCUGCUGCUAAUCUCACCACACCAGGUCCUGUUUCUACAACCAAUUCUCACGCUCAUAAAGGGAAACUUGAGAACCCAAAAAAAAAUCCUGAAGUUGCCUUGGCUGUAUUGCUCAUGAUUUGUCUUGCCUUGUGCAUCAUUGUUGCAGUUUUGUUUAUAAGAAAUAACAACUGUAAUAUGUCAGCAAUAUUCACUCGCAAAAUGAUCACAGAAACUGAAGUAAUAUAAUCCCAAUACAUACAGUAGUUGUGACACUGUGCCAAGCUCAGAAAGAUAAGCUUUCUUUAUGUCAGUCUCUGUCAUGGCAGAGGGACAGGAUUAAGGAAAUUAAGGAAAAAGGGGGAAAUGUACAGUUAAGGGGAAAAUAUAAUCCCAUAUAUGUAGCAGAUUCUUUUCUUUCUUUCUUUUUCUAACGCUUCAUUUCUAGUUUCAGUGAAAUAUUUAUCUCUUACUUAUCACUGUGUGAUGCUUUUCAAUUGCUAAUGGACUGGUGUGAACUGACUCCUUUUCUGAUUUUGAGAUUUUGUGGGAUCUGUUUUUAAACAUCUGUGGUGAUUUUUACCCGUAGCUUUUUUUUUUUUUACAAUUAUUUACCUUCUCAGAAUGAAAAAGGUAACAUACCGUACAAACAUUUCUCACUGCUGUAAUAUACUCGAGAACAUGUUGUUUAUACCGUUACUUAUAUAAACACAAAUAUAUAGUAUUAUAAUUAAUGGUAUAUAAUUUUUAAGGACAACUGUUGUACCUUUGACAACAAAAAUACUUGUACAGUGCUUUUUGAGAGAAUAUUGAGAAUGAAUUGUAUUCUGUGAUUUAAUUUUAUUUUUUUUAUAAUAAUAAUAAUACAUUGUGGAGCAGAACACUGAAUAGACUUUGGUGUUGCACUUUUGUGUACUUUUGUAUAUUGUGUAUUCUGUUGUAUUGCCAGUUCUGUUGUAUUGUGUGCUUUUUUUUACUGUAAAUGUGAAUAUAUUAAUAAAUGUACAGAAUUCACGUA